UAAGUUGAUAGUGAAAGCGUCUGGCUCAACCGGAUAUCCAUUAUCAAAACUGCAAAGCUAGAGGACGAGAGAGGUUAUUGGAAUUCCUAGUGUAGGAGUGAAAUCCGUAGAUAUUAGGAGGAACACCGAUGGCGUAGGCAGAUAACUGGCUCGUUCCUGACACUAAGGCACGAAAGCGUGGGUAGCAAACGGGAUUAGAUACCCCGGUAGUCCACGCCGUAAACUAUGGAUGCUA
rnacentral:rRNA from 1 species